rnacentral:snRNA from 1 species
AGCCAUGUGGUGAGCAUAAAGCGAACUAUUCUUUCGCCUUUUACUAAAGAAUACCGUGUGCUCUCCACUCAUAAGUGGCAUACGCCUAUUUUGGAGGGUCCCACUUUCGAGUGGGCCC